rnacentral:rRNA from 1 species
UACGGAGGGUGCAAGCGUUAUCCGGAUUCACUGGGCUUAAAGGGUGCGUAGGUGGGUUGGUAAGUCAGUGGUGAAAUCUCCAGGCUUAACUUGGAAACUGCCAUUGAUACUAUCAAUCUUGAAUACCGUGGAGGUCAGCGGAAUAUGUCAUGUAGCGGUGAAAUGCUUAGAUAUGACAUAGAACACCAAUCGCGAAGGCAGCUGGCUACACGAAUAUUGACACUGAUGCACGAAAGCGUGGGGAUCAAACAGG